AUACUUAACCUGGUAGGGGAAAUACCAUGAUCAUGAGGGUGGGUUUCCCAGAACAAGGCUUAUCCAUUGCACCUCAGUUGUGCUGACCCCUGCUAUUUCCUCAAAUGUGGGAAACUCUACCGAAUAACUUGGUAGGGAGACAACAUUUGUGCUCUCCCUGA
ensembl:snRNA U1 U1 spliceosomal RNA